AUAUCAAUAAGCGGAGGAAAAGAAACCAACAGGGAUUGCCCUAGUAACGGCGAGUGAAGCGGCAACAGCUCAAAUUUGAAAUCUGGCGUCUUUGGCGUCCGAGUUGUAAUUUGCAGAGGGCGCUUUGGCAUUGGCAGCGGUCCAAGUUCCUUGGAACAGGACGUCACAGAGGGUGAGAAUCCCGUACGUGGUCGCUAGCCUUUACCGUGUAAAGCCCCUUCGACGAGUCGAGUUGUUUGGGAAUGCAGCUCUAAAUGGGAGGUAAAUUUCUUCUAAAGCUAAAUACUGGCCAGAGACCGAUAGCGCACAAGUAGAGUGAUCGAAAGAUGAAAAGCACUUUGGAAAGAGAGUUAAAAAGCACGUGAAAUUGUUGAAAGGGAAGCGCUUGCAGCCAGACUUGCCUGUAGUUGCUCAUCCGGGUUUUUACCCGGUGCACUCUUCUAUAGGCAGGCCAGCAUCAGUUUGGGCGGUUGGAUAAAGGUCUCUGUCACGUACCUCCUCUCGGGGAGAACUUAUAGGGGAGACGUAAUGCAACCAGCCUGGACUGAGGUCCGCGCAUCUGCUAGGAUGCUGGCGUAAUGGCUGUAAGCGGCCCGUCUUGAAACACGGACCAAGGAGUCUAACAUCUAUGCGAGUGUUUGGGUGUCAAGCCCGAGCGCGUAAUGAAAGUGAACGGAGGUGGGAACCUUUCGGGGUGCACCAUCGACCGAUCCUGAUGUCUUCGGAUGGAUUUGAGUAAGAGCAUAGCUGUUGGGACCCGAAAGAUGGUGAACUAUGCUUGAAUAGGGUGAAGCCAGAGGAAACUCUGGGUGGAGGCUCGCAGCGGUUCUGACGUGCAAAUCGAUCGUCAAAUUUGGGCAUAGGGGCGAAAGACUAAUCGAACUAUCUAGUAGCUGGUUCCUGCCGAAGUUUCCCUCAGGAUAGCAGUAACGUUUUCAGUUUUAUGAGGUAAAGCGAAUGAUUAGAGGCCUGGGGGUUGAAACAACCUUCACCUAUUCUCAAACUUUAAAUAUGUAAGAAGUCCUUGUUACUUAAUUGAACGUGGACAGUUGAAUGUAUCGUUACUAGUGGGCCAUUUUUGGUAAGCAGAACUGGCGAUGCGGGAUGAACCGAACGCGGGGUUAAGGUGCCAGAAUAUACGCUCAUCAGACACCACAAAAGGUGUUAGUUCAUCUAGACAGCAGGACGGUGGCCAUGGAAGUCGGAAUCCGCUAAGGAGUGUGUAACAACUCACCUGCCGAAUGAACUAGCCCUGAAAAUGGAUGGCGCUCAAGCGUAUUACCCAUACCCCGCCGCUGGGGCAAGAUUUAAGCCCCAGCGAGUAGGCAGGCGUGGAGGUCCGUGACGAAGCCUUGGGGGUGACCCCGGGUCGAACGGCCUCUAGUGC
rnacentral:rRNA from 1 species